GUGGGGAAUAUUGCACAAUGGGCGCAAGCCUGAUGCAGCAACGCCGCGUGAGGGAUGACGGCCUUCGGGUUGUAAACCUCUUUUAGUAGGGAAGAAGCGUAAGUGACGGUACCUGCAGAAAAAGCACCGGCUAACUACGUGCCAGCAGCCGCGGUAAUACGUAGGGUGCAAGCGUUGUCCGGAAUUAUUGGGCGUAAAGAGCUCGUAGGCGGCUUGUCGCGUCUGCUGUGAAAACCCGAGGCUCAACCUCGGGCUUGCAGUGGGUACGGGCAGGCUAGAGUGCGGUAGGGGAGAUUGGAAUUCCUGGUGUAGCGGUGGAAUGCGCAGAUAUCAGGAGGAACACCGAUGGCGAAGGCAGAUCUCUGGGCCGUAACUGACGCUGAGGAGCGAAAGCAUGGGGAGCGAACAGGAUUAGAUACCCGGGUAGUCC
rnacentral:rRNA from 1 species